UACGGGGGGGGCAAGCGUUGUUCGGAAUUACCGGGCGUAAAGGGCUCGUAGGCGGCCAACUAAGUCAGACGUGAAAUCCCUCGGCUUAACCGGGGAACUGCAUCUGAUACUGGAUGGCUUGAGAUUGGGAGAGGGAUGCGGAAUUCCAGGUGUAGCGGUGAAAUGCGUAGAUAUCUGGAGGAACACCGGUGGCGAAGGCGGCAUCCUGGACCAACACUGACGCUGAGGAGCGAAAGCCAGGGGAGCAAACGGG
rnacentral:rRNA from 1 species